rnacentral:sRNA from 1 species
ACUUACUCAUCAUAUAAACCCAAGGCACAAUCAUAUACCCAGGGAUACAAGACACUGCAGACUCCCGAGAGACACGACACAGAAUUGCACCAUGCCAAACUACAAACUCACUUAUUUUAAUAUGAGGGGGAGAGCAGAAAUUAUUCGUUACAUAUUUGCUUAUUUGGACAUACAGUAUGAAGACCACAGACUAGAACAAGCUGACUGGCCUGAAAUCAAAUCAAGUAAGUAGCACAAAUAAUAAAUGUAGGAAAAAUAUGCUUUCAGAACCUUUUGUUUUUCCUCAGGGAAAUGAAAAAAAAAAUCAAGGUUUUCAGAGCUCAUGUAGCUUUAAAUUGAGGAGCAGCAGUUCAGACUAAAUAAAUGCUGCGUGAUCAAGCAAAUCUCCUAUUAGAGGUGAAAACACAAAACUUACAGAAAGAGAAUGUAAAGGUAAACCAGUAUAAAGCUUUAUCAGAUGAGAAGAUGAGCUGAAAUAAACAUGAGACAUUGUUUGUUUGUUUGUUUUUCUAUUUUGUCACUGGGAUAGCUGAAGUGCACAGAG